rnacentral:rRNA from 1 species
GACGAACGCUGGCGGCGUGCUUAACACAUGCAAGUCGAACGGAAAGGCCUUUUCGGAGGUACUCGAGUGGCGAACGGGUGAGUAACACGUGGGUGAUCUGCCCUGCACUCUGGGAUAAGCCUGGGAAACUGGGUCUAAUACCGGAUAGGACCGCACUUAGUGUGUGUGGUGGAAAGUUUUUUCGGUGUAGGAUGAGCCCGCGGCCUAUCAGCUUGUUGGUGGGGUAAUGGCCUACCAAGGCGGCGACGGGUAGCCGGACUGAGAGGUUGGUCGGCCACAUUGGGACUGAGAUACGGCCCAGACGCCUACGGGAGGCAGCAGUGGGGAAUAUUGCACAAGGGGCGCAAGCCGGAUGCAGCGACGCCGCGGGGGGGAUGACGGCCUUCGGGUUGUAAACUCCUUUCGCCAGGGACGAAGCGUUUUGUGACGGUACCUGGAGAAGAAGCACCGGCUAACUACGUG